UACGGGGGGAGCAAGCGUUGUUCGGAUUUACUGGGCGUAAAGGGCGCGUAGGCGGUCAGCACAAGUCAGUUGUGAAAUCUCCGGGCUUAACUCGGAAAGGUCAACUGAUACUGUGCGACUAGAGUGCAGAAGGGGCAACUGGAAUUCCCGGUGUAGCAGUGAAAUGCGUAGAGAUCGGGAGGAACAUCAGUUGCGAAGGCGGCUCUCUGGACCAGCACUGACACUGAGGCACGAAAGCGUGGGGAGCAAACAGG
rnacentral:rRNA from 1 species